rnacentral:rRNA from 1 species
UGAGUAACCUGCCCUUGACUCUGGGAUAAGCACUGGAAACGGUGUCUAAUACCGGAUACGACCCUCGGAGGCAUCUCCUGAGGGUGGAAAGAAUUUCGGUCAAGGAUGGACUCGCGGCCUAUCAGCUAGUUGGUGAGGUAAUGGCCCACCAAGGCGACGACGGGUAGCCGGCCUGAGAGGGUGACCGGCCACACUGGGACUGAGACACGGCCCAGACUCCUACGGGAGGCAG